CAUUUCAAGCGGCUUUCAACGACUAUAUCAACCAAAUCAAGCUAGAUACGUUGAUAUGUUGUUUGAAUGCCCCUUGAGAUU
rfam:Caenorhabditis briggsae complete genome, chrIII